rnacentral:rRNA from 1 species
CCUUACCACAAUGCAAUUCGAGCUGUUAGCACAGGGAGCUGCUCCUGGGUGACGAGCGGCGGACGGGUGAGUAAUGUCUGGGAAACUGCCUGAUGGAGGGGGAUAACUACUGGAAACGGUAGCUAAUACCGCAUAACGUCGCAAGACCAAAGAGGGGGACCUUCGGGCCUCUUGCCAUCAGAUGUGCCCAGAUGGGAUUAGCUAGUAGGUGGGGUAACGGCUCACCUAGGCGACGAUCCCUAGCUGGUCUGAGAGGAUGACCAGCCACACUGGAACUGAGACACGGUCCAGACUCCUACGGGAGGCAGCAGUGGGGAAUAUUGCACAAUGGGCGCAAGCCUGAUGCAGCCAUGCCGCGUGUAUGAAGAAGGCCUUCGGGUUGUAAAGUACUUUCAGCGGGGAGGAAGGCGAUAAGGUUAAUAACCUUGUCGAUUGACGUUACCCGCAGAAGAAGCACCGGCUAACUCCGUGCCAGCAGCCGCGGUAAUACGGAGGGUGCAAGCGUUAAUCGGAAUUACUGGGCGUAAAGCGCACGCAGGCGGUCUGUCAAGUCGGAUGUGAAAUCCCCGGGCUCAACCUGGGAACUGCAUUCGAAACUGGCAGGCUAGAGUCUUGUAGAGGGGGGUAGAAUUCCAGGUGUAGCGGUGAAAUGCGUAGAGAUCUGGAGGAAUACCGGUGGCGAAGCGCCCCUGACAAAGACUGACGCUCGUCAAGCGUGCA